AAGUACUUGUGAUAGGUGCUACAAAUAGAUUAGACAUUCUUGAUCCCGCUUUGUUGAGGAAGGAUCAUUUUGACAAGAUCAUUUGAGUUGGUUUGCCAUCAAAGGAUGGAAGAUUUGCCAUUUUGAAGGUGCAUGCAAGGAAUAAAUUCUUUCGCUCAGAGGCAUUUGGAUUACAUUGGGCGAGAUGAGCUACUUGAGGCAUUAAAGAGGCAAAAAGGAACUUUUGAGACAUGGCAAGGGGAUACUGCUGAAAUUCCUGAAGAAUUGAAGCUUAGACUGGCAUACAGAGAAGUGGCAGUUGCUGUUCUUGUAUGUUAUUAUCCUGAACUACACCACUUUUUGCUCUUAAAUUAAUCUAUUAACAUUGCAAGUAUUGGUAUAGAUAAA